rnacentral:rRNA from 1 species
AUUGAACGCUGGCGGCAGGCCUAACACAUGCAAGUCGAACGAGUGGCGGACGGGUGAGUAAUGUCUGGGAAACUGCCUGAUGGAGGGGGAUAACUACUGGAAACGGUAGCUAAUACCACAUACCAUCAGAUGUGCCCAGAUGGGAUUAGCUAGUUGGUGGGGUAACGGCUCACCAAGGCAACGAUCCCUAGCUGGUCUGAGAGGAUGACCAGCCACACAGGAAAGAGGACACGGUCCAGAGUCCUACGGGAGGCAGCAGUGGGGAAUAUUGCACAAUGGGCGCAAGCCUGAGGCAGCCAUGCCGGGUGUAUGAAGAAGGCGUUCGGGUUGUAAAGUACUUGCAGCGGGGAGGCGUUACCCGCAGAAGAAGCACCGGCUAACUCCGAGCCAGCAGCCGCGGUAAUUC